CAAUAGCGUAUAUUAAAGCUGUUGCGGUUAAAAAGCUCGUAGUUGGAUUUCUGUCAAGGACAACUGGUCCGCCCUUCGGGUGAGCACAUAGUUUGGUCUUGGCAUCUUGUUGGAAACUGUUGCUGCACUUGGUUGUGUGGCGCAGUGUCCAGCACUUUCACUUUGAGGAAAUUGGAGUGUUUCAAGCAGGCACAUGCCUUUGGACACAGUAGCAUGGAAUAAUUAGAUUGGGCUUUUGCUCCAACUUGUCGGUUUCUGGAGCUGAGGUGAGAAUUAAUGGGGAUUGUUGGGGGCAUCCGAAUUUAGCCGUCAGAGGUGAAAUUCUUGGAUCUGCUAAAGACGGACAACUGCGAAANCGNNNGCCCAGGAUGUUUUCAUNGA
rnacentral:rRNA from 1 species